AUGAACGCUGGCGGCGUGCCUAAUACAUGCAAGUCGAGCGAACGGACGAGAAGCUUGCUUUUCUGAUGUUAGCGGCGGACGGGUGAGUAACACGUGGAUAACCUACCUAUAAGACUGGGAUAACUUCGGGAAACCGGAGCUAAUGCCGGAUAAUAUUUUGAACCGCAUGGUUCAAAAGUGAAAGACGGUCUUGCUGUCACUUAUAGAUGGAUCCGCGCUGCAUUAGCUAGUUGGUAAGGUAACGGCUUACCAAGGCAACGAUGCAUAGCCGACCUGAGAGGGUGAUCGGCCACACUGGAACUGAGACACGGUCCAGACUCCUACGGGAGGCAGCAGUAGGGAAUCUUCCGCAAUGGGCGAAAGCCUGACGGAGCAACGCCGCGUGAGUGAUGAAGGUCUUCGGAUCGUAAAACUCUGUUAUUAGGGAAGAACAUAUGUGUAAGUAACUGUGCACAUCUUGACGGUACCUAAUCAGAAAGCCACGGCUAACUACGUG
rnacentral:rRNA from 1 species